rnacentral:tRNA from 1 species
UGAGAUAUAGCUCAAUUGGUAGAGCACCAAACUGUUAAUUUGGGGAAUGCGUGUCCGAAUCACGCUAUCUCAG